rnacentral:rRNA from 1 species
GACGAACGCUGGCGGCGUGCUUAACACAUGCAAGUCGAACGGAAAGGCCCUGCUUUUGUGGGGUGCUCGAGUGGCGAACGGGUGAGUAACACGUGAGUAACCUGCCCUUGACUUUGGGAUAACUUCAGGAAACUGGGGCUAAUACCGGAUAGGAGCUCCUGCUGCAUGGUGGGGGUUGGAAAGUUUCGGCGGUUGGGGAUGGACUCGCGGCUUAUCAGCUUGUUGGUGGGGUAGUGGCUUACCAAGGCUUUGACGGGUAGCCGGCCUGAGAGGGUGACCGGCCACAUUGGGACUGAGAUACGGCCCAGACUCCUACGGGAGGCAGCAGUGGGGAAUAUUGCACAAUGGGCGGAAGCCUGAUGCAGCAACGCCGCGUGCGGGAUGACGGCCUUCGGGUUGUAAACCGCUUUCGCCUGUGACGAAGCGUGAGUGACGGUAAUGGGUAAAGAAGCACCGGCUAACUACGUGCCAGCAGCCGCGGUGAUACGUAGGGUGCGAGCGUUGUCCGGAUUUAUUGGGCGUAAAGGGCUCGUAGGUGGUUGAUCGCGUCGGAAGUGUAAUCUUGGGGCUUAACCCUGAGCGUGCUUUCGAUACGGGUUGACUUGAGGAAGGUAGGGGAGAAUGGAAUUCCUGGUGGAGCGGUGGAAUGCGCAGAUAUCAGGAGGAACACCAGUGGCGAAGGCGGUUCUCUGGGCCUUUCCUGACGCUGAGGAGCGAAAGCGUGGGGAGCGAACAGGCUUAGAUACCCUGGUAGUCCACGCUGUAAACGGUGGGUACUAGGUGUGGGGUCCACUCCACGGGUUCCGUGCCGUAGCUAACGCUUUAAGUACCCCGCCUGGGGAGUACGGCCGCAAGGCUAAAACUCAAAGGAAUUGACGGGGCCCCGCACAAGCGGCGGAGCAUGCGGAUUAAUUCGAUGCAACGCGUAGAACCUUACCUGGGUUUGACAUGGAUCGGGAGUGCUCAGAGAUGGGUGUGCCUCUUUUGGGGUCGGUUCACAGGUGGUGCAUGGCUGUCGUCAGCUCGUGUCGUGAGAUGUUGGGUUAAGUCCCGCAACGAGCGCAACCCUUGUUCAUUGUUGCCAGCACGUUAUGGUGGGGACUCAGUGGAGACCGCCGGGGUCAACUCGGAGGAAGGUGGGGAUGACGUCAAGUCAUCAUGCCCCUUAUGUCCAGGGCUUCACGCAUGCUACAAUGGCUGGUACAGAGAGUGGCGAGCCUGUGAGGGUGAGCGAAUCUCGGAAAGCCGGUCUCAGUUCGGAUUGGGGUCUGCAACUCGACCUCAUGAAGUCGGAGUCGCUAGUAAUCGCAAAUCAGCAACGCUGCGGUGAAUACGUUCCCGGG